rnacentral:rRNA from 1 species
AUACGUAGGGGGCGAGCGUUGUCCGGAUUUACUGGGCGUAAAGGGUGAGUAGGCGGUUGUAUAAGUCAGAUGUAAAAGGCACAGGCUUAACUUGUGUAAGCAUUUGAAACUGUACAACUUGAGUGCAGGAGAGGUAAGUGGAAUUCCUAGUGUAGCGGUGAAAUGCGUAGAUAUUAGGAGGAACACCAGUGGCGAAGGCGGCCAGCUGGGCUUUUACUGACGCUGAGGCUCGAAAGCGUGGGGAGC